rnacentral:rRNA from 1 species
CACGUAAGAAUCUACCUUUCGGUUGGGGAUAACUUCUGGAAACGGGAGCUAAUACCCAAUAUGCUGUGGAGUGAAAGAAUUUCGCCGAGAGACGAUCUUGCGUCUGAUUAGCUUGUUGGGGUGGUAAUGGCACACCAAGGCGACGAUCAGUAGCUGGUCUGAGAGGAUGGACAGCCACAUUGGGACUGAGACACGGCCCAGACUCCUACGGGAGGCAGCAGUGGGGAAUUUUCCGCAAUGGACGAAAGUCUGACGGAGCGACGCUGCGUGAAGGAUGAAGGCCCGUGGGUUGUAAACUUC